rnacentral:rRNA from 1 species
UACGGGGGGGACAAGCGUUGUUCGGAAUUACUGGGCGUAAAGGGCUCGUAGGUGGCCAACUAAGUCAGACGUGAAAUCCCCAGGCUUAACCUGGGAACUGCGUCUGAUACUGGAUGGCUUGAAUUCGGGAGAGGGAUGCAGAAUUCCAGGUGUAGCGGUGAAAUGCGUAGAUAUCUGGAGGAAUACCGGUGGCGAAGGCGGCAUCCUGGACCGAGAUUGACACUGAUGAGCGAAAGCUAGGGGAGCAAACGGG